UUUCCGUAGGUGAACCUGCGGAAGGAUCAUUACAGUAGUCGCCCGGGUUGCCGCAAGGCCUCCCGGGUAACCUACCACCCUUUGUUUAUUACACUUUGUUGCUUUGGCAGGCCUGCCCUCGGGCUGCUGGCUCCGGCCGGCGAGCGCUUGCCAGAGGACCUCAACUCUGUUUGUCUUUACUGUCUGAGUACUAUAUAAUAGUUAAAACUUUCAACAACGGAUCUCUUGGUUCUG
rnacentral:misc_RNA from 1 species